ACGCUCGACACCUACGGGAAGCAGCAGUGGGGAAUAUUGCACAAUGGGGGAAACCCUGAUGCAGCGACGCCGCGUGGAGGAAGAAGGUCUUCGGAUUGUAAACUCCUGUUGUUGGGGAAAAGAGGAUGGUACCCAACAAGGAAGUGACGGCUAACUACGUGCCAGCAGCCGCGGUAAUCUGAGCGGGCUGGCAAGGC
rnacentral:rRNA from 1 species